GAUGAACGCUGACAGAAUGCUUAACACAUGCAAGUCUUUGGCGAAUCUGUGCUUGCACAGGCUAGCCAAGGCGGACGGGUGAGUAACGCGUCAAGAACUUGCCCUGCAGACAGGGAUAACAGACGGAAACGACUGAUAACACCUGAUACAGUUGCCGGCACGCAUGUGCCUGGCAAUGAAAAGAGAUGCUGCAGGAGAGCUUUGCGUCCUAUUAGCUUGUUGGUGAGGUGACGGCUCACCAAGGCGAUGAUAGGUAGCCGGCCUGAGAGGGUGAACGGCCACGAGGGGACUGAGAUACGGCACUUACUCCUACGGGAGGCAGCAGUGGGGAAUAUUGGACAAUGGGGGCAACCCUGAUCCAGCAAUUCUGUGUGCACGAAGAAGGUUUUCGGAGUGUAAAGUGCUUUCAGCAGGGAAGAAGAAAGUGACGGUACCUGCAGAAGAAGCGACGGCUAAAUACGUG
rnacentral:rRNA from 1 species